rnacentral:rRNA from 1 species
GACGAACGCUGGCGGCGUGCUUAACACAUGCAAGUCGAACGGAAAGGCCCUGCUUUUGUGGGGUGCUCGAGUGGCGAACGGGUGAGUAACAUGUGAGUAACCUGCCCUUGACUUUGGGAUAACUUCAGGAAACUGGGGCUAAUACCGGAUAGGAGCUCCUGCUGCAUGGUGGGGGUUGGAAAGUUUCGGCGGUUGGGGAUGGACUCGCGGCUUAUCAGCUUGUUGGUGAGGUAGUGGCUUACCAAGGCUUUGACGGGUAGCCGGCCUGAGAGGGUGACCGGCCACAUUGGGACUGAGAUACGGCGCAGACUCCUACGGGAGGCAGCAGUGGAGAAUAUUGCACAAUGGGCGGAAGCCUGAUGCAGCAACGCCGCGUGCGGGAUGACGGCCUUCGGGUUGUAAACCGCUUUCGCCUGUGACGAAGCGUGAGUGACGGUAAUGGGUAAAGAAGCACCGGCUAACUACGUG